GAUGAAGAACGCAGCGAAAUGCGAUAAGUAGUGUGAAUUGCAGAAUUCAGUGAAUCAUCGAAUCUUUGAACGCACAUUGCGCCCUUUGGUAUUCCUUAGGGCAUGCCUGUUCGAGCGUCAUUUGAAACCUCAAGCUCAGCUUGGUGUUGGGUGUCUGUCCCCGCCUCACCGCGGGGACUCGCCUCAAAAUCAUUGGCGGCCGGUACGUUGGCUUCGAGCGCAGCAGAAACGCGAACUCGAGGCCCGGCGGAUCGGCGACCAGAAGUCACUUCUUCACAGUUUGACCUCGGAUCAGGUAGGGAUACCCGCUGAACUUAAGCAUAUCAAUAAGCGGAUGA
rnacentral:misc_RNA from 1 species